GCCUGGCUUCUCGGCUAUGUCAGGAAUGUCAGGAAUGCCACUGAUCAUUGUGCGUUGGCAGAGCGCAGGGGUUCCAGCCGGGCUAACAGAAACUCGGUCCUGCCCACUGGGUGAAACUGUAGCUCUCCCACACAGCGAUCUGCCUGUCCGAGAGCGUGGGAAACCUCCAGCCCGAAGGAAUGCCUUUCAAAACGGGAAGGAUGCCCGGCCCCCCAAAGAAAAAGCACGCACAAUCCUGGCUGGGUUGUUCCCAUUAGGAGGCUUGGGGACAGAGAAUCUGCUCGCUCUGCAGGUGUUGGGAGCAGCAAAUGCCCUCCUUUUGAUGGCCAGCACGAGCUCAUUCUGCUGAAAGUCUCCAAAGUGACCCAUUGCAUCGUGGAAACAAAGAGCCAAGACCUCCUGAAUUUUACUGCCCGGAGGGUAUAUUUUUCUUUCCCGUUGCAUCAAAGGGGUGUGUGACGCUUUCCCAAAGUACUAACUCUGACUUGAUACCUAAAGUAGAAGAUGGAAAUUUGGGCCCUUAAGAUGGAGCUCUUUCCCCUCCACCUGCAUUGGAGGGAAGAGAGGCAGAGAGAUUCAAGGCAAAAUCCUGUUGGAGAAUUCCUUCUCAUUCCUGGAUUUAAUUUCUUAUUUUUAUAUUGUUGCAUAAGAAAUCCCCUGCAAAAAGCAUCUGCUUUCAAGUCCGGGAAAUCUUGUUUUAGGCUCAUGUAUUUAAAGACAAACAAAUAAAACCACCAAACCAAUGAGGCCAGGCUUUGGCUGACCACCCAUCCCCUCUCCAGCCCCCGCACCCCCAUUUUCCUCUGGAGCAGUGAUUAUGGAGCCACCGCACAAAUUUUAUUCGAUCAUCGAAUGAACAAAGCCAGGGCUCGUGAUGUUGAGAAAGCAUGAGAGAAGGAAAAAAAAAAAAGAUAUCACGGUGACAGCAUACUUCUUCAGAGUUCCAUCUAAAAGC
rnacentral:lncRNA from 1 species